AUAUGUGAACUGUCAUGUCUGCCUUGCCGUCAUCUCGGUUCCACUCGGUCACUGUCGCUACGCGCCCCACGCUUACCACACAAUGUCGAGGGAUUCACCUUUGGCUGAAAGUAUUGGAAGGGCCGUUCUGGCAGCUAUACAAGAAAUUAACCCCGCGUCAGCUACAACGGCUGCCGCAGAGCCACAACAGCACUCGGACUCCGGCACUGAUGGUACGGUAUCUUUAACAGCACCAGACUUCACCCCAGUGACCUCUCAGUCAGGUACCUACCAAGGAAGGCAUGAUAUAUCCAGAGAGGAGCUUGAACAUGUUCUUUCCCUGAAAACCACUUUUACUGAAGCAGCAUCUACUCUUGGAAUCUCAAGGCCAACUUUCUAUAAAUUACUACAAGACUACAAUAUUCCAACAUCAAAAUUUGAUCUAAUCAGUGAUCAACAAUUAGAUAUUGAAGUGUCACAAAUAAAAACUGAACACCCAAAUGUUGGUGAAGUGAUGCUCAUGGCGCAUCUGUAUGAAGGUAAAUUUGUUUCUU